rnacentral:rRNA from 1 species
UACGGGGGGGGCAAGCGUUGUUCGGAAUUACUGGGCGUAAAGGGCUCGUAGGUGGCCAACUAAGUCAGACGUGAAAUCCCUCAGCUUAACUGGGGAACUGCGUCUGAUACUGGAUGGCUUGAGUUUGGGAGAGGGAUGCGGAAUUCCAGGUGUAGCGGUGAAAUGCGUAGAUAUCAGGAAGAACACCCGUGGCGAAGGCGGCAUCCUGGACCGGUAUUGACGCUGAGGCGCGAAAGCCAGGGGAGCAAACGGG